rnacentral:RNase_P_RNA from 1 species
UGGCGGUCUGUCGCCGGGCGCCGGAAGGCGCCGGGAGGAAAGUCCGGGCAACACAGAGCACCAUACUUCCUAACGGAAAGCUGCGGGCGACCGCAGAGACAAUGUAACAGAAAUAUACCGCCGGGCGCGAUUCCGGCCUUCGGGCUGACGGCGCCGGGUAAGGGUGAAAUGGCGAGGUAAGAGCUCACCGGCUUCUGUGGCGACAUGGAGGCGCUCUACAUCUUAUGGGUUGCAAUGUCAAGUAUACCGGCAGUAAAGGAUUGCUCGUCCGUUGCCGGGGGGUAGGCAGCUUUAGCCGUUGGGCGACCUUCGGCAUAGAUAAAUGACAGACGCGGUGCGCGGCGCGAGCUUCGCAACCGUACAUAACCCGGCUUACAACUGUCCU